AUUGAACGCUGGCGGCAUGCUUUACACGUGCAAGUCGAACGGUAACAGGUUAAGCUGACGAGUGGCGAACGGGUGAGUAAUGCAUCGGAACGUGCCCGAUCGUGGGGGAUAACGCAGCGAAAGCUGUGCUAAUACCGCAUACGAUCUGAGGAUGAAAGCGGGGGACCGUAAGGCCUCGCGCGAUCGGAGCGGCCGAUGUCAGAUUAGGUAGUUGGUGGGGUAAAGGCUCACCAAGCCAACGAUCUGUAGCUGGUCUGAGAGGACGACCAGCCACACUGGGACUGAGACACGGCCCAGACUCCUACGGGAGGCAGCAGUGGGGAAUUUUGGACAAUGGGCGCAAGCCUGAUCCAGCCAUGCCGCGUGCGGGAUGAAGGCCUUCGGGUUGUAAACUGCUUUUGUACGGAACGAAAAGGUUUGACUUAGUACGUUGGACUCAUGACGGUACCGUAAGAAUAAGCACCGGCUAACUACGUGCCAGCAGCCGCCGUAA
rnacentral:rRNA from 1 species